rnacentral:rRNA from 1 species
GACGUAGGAGGCGAGCGUUUAUCCGGAUUCACUGGGCGUAAAGCGCAUGUAGGCGGUUCGUCAAGUCGUGUGUUAAAGCCCCUGGCUCAACUGGGGGAGGUCAUGCGAGACUGUCGGACUUGAGGGCAGUAGAGGCACGUGGAACUCCCGGUGUAGCGGUGGAAUGCGUAGAGAUCGGGAAGAACACCCGUGGCGAAGGCGACGUGCUGGGCUGCAUCUGACGCUGAGGUGCGAAAGUGUGGGGAGCAAACGGG